rnacentral:rRNA from 1 species
UAGUGGCGANNGGGUGAGUAACACGUGGGCAAUCUGCCCUUCACUCUGGGACAACNCCCUGGAAACGGGGUCUAAUACCGGAUAAUACCUGCCUGGGCAUCUGGGUGGGUUGAAAGCUCCGGCGGUGAAGGAUGAGCCCGCGGCCUAUCAGCUUGUUGGUGAGGUAGUGGCUCACCAAGGCGACGACGGGUAGCCGGCCUGAGAGGGCGACCGGCCACACUGGGACUGAGACACGGCCCAGACUCCUACGGGAGGCAGCAGUGGGGAAUAUUGCACAAUGGGCGAAAGCCUGAUGCAGCGACGCCGCGUGAGGGAUGACGGCCUUCGGGUUGUAAACCUCUUUCAGCAGGGAAGAAGCGAGAGUGACGGUACCUGCAGAAGAAGCGCCGGCUAACUACGUGCCAGCAGCCGCGGUAAUACGUAGGGCGCAAGCGUUGUCCGGAAUUAUUGGGCGUAAAGAGCUCGUAGGCGGCUUGUCACGUCGGGUGUGAAAGCCCGGGGCUUAACCCCGGGUCUGCAUUCGAUACGGGCUAGCUAGAGUGUGGUAGGGGAGAUCGGAAUUCCU